rnacentral:rRNA from 1 species
UACAGAGACUGCAAGCGUUAUUCGGAUUCACUGGGCGUAAAGGGCGCGUAGGCGGCCUGAUAAGUAGGGGGGUGAAAUCUUGCGGCUUAACCGCAAGGCUGCCUUCUAAACUGUCAGGCUAGAGCACAGUAGAGGCAGGUGGAAUUCCCGGUGUAGCGGUGGAAUGCGUAGAGAUCGGGAAGAACAUCAGUGGCGAAGGCGGCCUGCUGGGCUGUUGCUGACGCUGAGGCGCGACAGCGUGGGGGAGCAAACAGG